AGGUAAUCCUUGCUGCGGAGAAAGGCAGGGGCUGUGGAGGCCCAGAGGAAGGAUGUGUCAUCCCUGCCACCAGAGGCCGCACAACAUCUAGGCCCUCUACUUGGGCCCCGCUAGCCUAUGCACAAAGAAGGCUGUGCAGCCCCACCUCCCCUACAGAGCAGAGCUUAGACUAGAUUUCAGCCACCUGCUGGUGAGCCUGGCCCAACCUUCAGAGGGUGAGAUUCUUGGGCUUUAGUGGUAAACCAGGCUCACUGACGGUGCCAAGGCCCAGUGUUAAAUAGACCCCCUCUCUUUUAAUAAUAAAUUAAAAAGGUAGAAGCUGUGAUGCCUAGGCCAGGAAAGCCGGGAGUCAGCAGCUUUCUCGGGCUUAUAUCCUCCCCACAAAGGGUAACCGAUGACAAUGGCUAUGGGGGUCACCCCACCAGAGACCUAGGGAGACCAUAAGGUACUCCGGCCAUCAUCCCUUGAUCAUGUUCAGGCCCCAUGCUGGGUCUGGAAGUUCCGGCCACAGUGAGGUCCCUUCUGUCGCCUUCAUCAACAGAAGAUAAGAAAAUGUAACAAAAACUCAUGUAGCAUGUGCUGUGUGUGUAAGGCUCUGUUCAAGGCUCAAGGCUGCAGAAUGGUAAAUAAGGUCCCUCCUCGAUCCCCUGAUGCUUACAUAUUAAUGAGAAGAGAGAAAUACAGAAGCAAAAAACAGUUAGUUUGGAUCAUCAUAAUUGCUAUGAAAAAAUAAACAACAUGAGAACGUGGGGAUCAUUUAGAGAAGCUGAUCCCAUCAGAGGAGGUGACAUUUCACUGACAGCAAGGAGCCUGACCACCUGAAGGUCAAGCAGAAGGCCAUUCUUGGCAGAGAGAGGAGCAAUGAGAAGCAGCAUGGUAAGCUGGAACCUAGUGAUAGGGAGAAAUGAGCGCAGCAGGGGAGGCUUUGGGGGAGUCAGCAAGGCCCAAUCACAGGAUGGCUUUUGUAGAGUUUGGAUUUUGUACCAAGCACAAUGAUACCUACUGUGACACCCUUGGAAGUUAGGAUUGAGCCCCUCCUGAAGCCUCAAUUCACCCAUCCAGCCUCACCUCCCUUCUACUCUGCACUUGGGGAAGCCAGUCCCAUUAUCAGGCCUCUAUCUCUCAUGGGUGAGAUGACAGGAAACUGGGAGUCUUAGAGGUUCCUUCUAGUGCCGGGAUUUUUGCAUGAGGUAAAGUUCAGAGGCAGAAGGUAAUUGGCCUUGGGUCUGACUGCUGGGUCUGAGCCUGCCUCGUCCCUCCCUGACCAUAUGAACUUAGGAGACUCCACUGCUGUGGUCCAUGCUCUGCAGGUAAAAGACAGGGCGGAGUGGGAGCGCAGUACCCACCACACGGGCUGCUGUGAGGUCUCGCUUAGAAGAAGUUGUGUGAGAGCCAUGCACAGAGCAUGGUAGAUGCUGAAUGAACAUUAGUUAGUAUUACUAUUAUUCAAACAGCCUCCUCAAAAACCUCUGAUUGUGGGGAGGAGGGGAGGGAACUGGGAUUGACAUGUAAAAGAAGCUUAUUUCGAAUUUAAUACAAAACAAAAAAACCUCUGAUUGCUUCCCAAACCUCAAAGAAUAUAAAUUGCCCAGCCCAGAGAUAUAGCUCAGUGUGUAGACUUGUAAUUUGAGCUACUUGGGAGGCUGGGGUAGGAGAAACACAAGUUCAAGGCCUGUGUGGGCUAAGAGAUAGUUCAGGGCCAGUUCUGGAGGCCCCCACAGCAGGCCUCCUGAGUAACCAGAGGCCCAGUUCCUCUCCACAUAUUCUGCUGUUCCUCACUCUGCCCCUAAGAACUCAGCUUCAUGCCUUUUCCUCCUUGGACCCUCUGCCUGGAACAUUCACCUCGACUGGUAUCUAUCCGUCCUCGGGCCUCUGCUCUCAUAGCCUCCUCUGGGGGUCCUCUGCUCCCCCAAGCUCCCAUGGCCCUGUGUGUCAGUCUCUCUGAAUGCCACUGGAUACACUCCUGUGCAGAGGCUCAGAUCAGAAGGGCUUCCCAAUCCCUGCUUUGCCUCCACUGGUGGCUUAUUAAAGGUGGUGUGGCCUCAGACAUUUGCCCCAGGACCGGGAAGCCUGCUCUCCUGGCUGACUCUGGGCUGUGGGUAGAAAAGGCGUAGAUAAUAAGACCCCAUUCCUGCCCUUGAGGCUUUGAAGAGACAGUGAUGUCACAAGAGGAUAAGCACCCCUUAGAGUAGGCUGCUCAUGGACAUUAAGUUCCCACCUCUCUUCUCAGGCCUGUGUCACUCACUCACACAACCCAGGUUGGAGACCAAGGGCCCAGAAAGCUGCAGAGCUUGGACUCUCUCACUGUCUCCUCCCUUCGCUUUACAGACGGGCAGCACAUUCUCCCUUGCUAUACUGUGGGCCUGUUGCCUAUCGCUCCUUGUCAGUGUCUUGUAAAAGAGAUGUUCUAAUUCAUGAGUUAGAUCACUUGGUAUCUAUGUGACUUCAGGGAAGUUACUUGAACUCUCUUUGAGUUGGCUUUCUCAUCUAUAAAGUGGGAACAUGGCCCUGUGAGGCAGCUCAGUGGGUAAAGGUGCUUGACACAGAGCCUGGUCACCUGACUGUCAUCCCUGGGGCUCACAUAGUAGGAGACAAAUGGCUUCCUUAAGUCAUCCCUUGACUUCCACAUGUGUGCCAUGGGACACACACAUGGGUACGCACACACACACACACACACACACACACACACACACACACACACACACACUGUAAUAAACAUUUUGAUAAAUAAAGUAGGAAUGGAAGCAGCCAUGGUGGCUUAUGCCUGUAAUCUCAGUACUUGGGAGGAUGAAACAAGAGGGUCACCCAAGUGUGGCUAUAGAAAGAUCCUGUCUCAAAAUAAAAAUGAAAAGGGGACUACCUCUAUCCGGGCAGUGGUGGCUCAGGCUUUUAAUCCCAGCACUCGGGAGGCAGCGGCUGGUGGAUCUCAAGCCAGACAGUUUUACAUAAGGAGUUCCAGGACAGCCAGGGCUGUAUAGAGAGACCCUGUUUCAAAAAACAAACCCAACAACAAAAAGACAGUAUGGGUUUGAGGUAGGAAUUGGGGAGCAGCUCAGAUGGGAGCUAUGUGGCCCUCCAAGGCUUACCUGGGCUGGAGGCAGGAGGAUGGCUUCCUUGUGUGGGUUCAUGCUACAGGGCAUGCAAGAGGACUCAGGUUUUCACACGUCUCCCUGAGACUGCUUGAGUGUCCUCAUGGCAUGUCAACCGGCUUCCCAGGGCAGCUGAUCCCCUUGAGAUCAAGGGACACGGUAUUCUUUAAAUUUCAUUCAAUUUACUCUUUAAUUAGUACACAAAGUAAUAGGCUUCCUUGUGGUGUUUUCACACAUGCUUAGUUUGGUUGAUCCUGCACAUAUAUUCAAAUCAGAAGCUAGGAUCCCCGUAUGAGGGAACAGGAGGUGUUUGUCUCUCUGGGUUACCUCACUUGAGACCUCUCAGUCUCAUUCUUUUUCCUGCAAAUACCAUCAUUUCGUUUCUCGUGUGUGUGUGUGUGUGUGUGUGUGUGUGUGUGUGUACAUGUUUCCAUGCACAUGUGUGCAGAUGCGUGUGAAGGCCAGAGGACUCCUCCCACAGACAUUCUUUAGAUGCCGCCAUAUUGACAUGGUUCUUUUCCUGGGUAGGAACUUGCUAAUUAGUCUGGCUGUCCAGAGAGCCCUAGGGAUCCCCCAUUUCAGCUGAUUCAAGCAUAUGGGAUUACAAGCACACAACACCAUACCUAACUGUUUAUAUAUGGGUACUGGGGAUCAAACUCAGGCCUUGUGUUUGCAAGGCAAGCACUUUAUCAACUGAACUAUUUGCCCAGACCCAUAAUUUCACUUUUCUAUGCAGCUGAAUAAAAUUCCAUGUGUAU
rnacentral:lncRNA from 1 species